GACGAACGCUGGCGGCGUGCCUAACACAUGCAAGUCGAACGGAGUUGUUUCUUCGGAGAUAACUUAGUGGCGAACGGGUGAGUAACGCGUGAGAAACCUACCUUUCAGUGGGGGACAACAGUUGGAAACGACUGCUAAUACCGCAUAAUGUUAUCGGAUCGCAUGGUCUGGUAACCAAAGCUUAAUGUGCUGAAAGAUGGUCUCGCGUCUGAUUAGCUAGUUGGUGAGGUAACGGCUCACCAAGGCGACGAUCAGUAGCCGGUCUGAGAGGGUGAUCGGCCACAUUGGAACUGAGACACGGCCCAG
rnacentral:rRNA from 1 species